GCCUGACGCAGCGACGCCGCGUGGGGGAUGAAGGUCUUCGGAUUGUAAACCCUUUCGGGAGGGAAGAUGGGAUGGGGUAACCCAUUCGGACGGUACCUCCAGAAGCAGCCACGGCUAACUUCGUGCCAGCAGCCGCGGUAAUACGAAGGUGGCAAGCGUUGUUCGGAUUUACUGGGCGUACAGGGAGCGUAGGCGGUUGGAUAAGCCCUCCGUGAAAUCUCCAGGCUUAACCUGGAAAGUGCAGAGGGGGACUGUUCAGCUAGAGGAUGGGAGAGGAGCGCGGAAUUCCCGGUGUAGCGGUGAAAUGCGUAGAGAUCGGGAGGAAGGCCGGUGGCGAAGGCGGCGCUCUGGAACAUUUCUGACGCUGAGGCUCGAAAGCGUGGGGAGCAAACAGGAUUAGAUACCCUGGUAGUCCACGCCUUAAACGAUGGAUACUAAGUGUCGGCGGGUUACCGCCGGUGCCGCAGCUAACGCAGUAAGUAUCCCGCCUGGGAAGUACGGCCGCAAGGUUG
rnacentral:rRNA from 1 species